UACGUAGGGUGCAAGCAUUAUCCGGAGUGACUGGGCGUAAAGAGUUGCGUAGGUGGACAAGUAAGCGAAUAGUGAAAUCUGGGGGCUCAACCUCACAGACUAUUACUCGAACUGCUUGUCUCGAGAGUGGUAGAGGUAACUGGAAUUUCUAGUGUAGGAGUGAAAUCCGUAGAUAUUAGAAGGAACACCAAUGGCGUAGGCAGGUUACUGGACCAUUUCUGACACUGAGGCACGAAAGCGUGGGGAGCGAACGGG
rnacentral:rRNA from 1 species